UAAUAACAAAGAUACAAACAGAUCACAUAACUUUGAGGUAGUCCCACAAUUAAAAGUACAAGUUCAUUUACUUGAUUCCAUAACAAACAAAGAAAUCUAAGCAGUUUCAUGUAUACAGAAGAUGAAAACGUCCUUUCAGUUCUCCAUAAAUCCUUGGACAUUAGCUUACAAACACAGAUAAAGCCAACUGACCAUGGUAGAAGCUAUUUUACGAGUUACUGGUUUAUCCCAAAAUAGAAAUCUUUGGUUAGGUAAAUUUUUUUUGGAUGAUGGGAACACAUGAAGCUAUAUAGAAUUUAACAAGGCCUAAUUCAUUUCAUCAAAAUUCUUAAAAUGGCCAAAAAAAGGGGACAAAACUACCA